ACUACAUUUAGUUUUUAAUUUUUAAUUUUAAGUUUUAAGUUUUGUUUUACUUUUACUGCCCUAUUCCCUAACCCUAUCGUCCCCUGACUCCCCUCCCCUCCUCCCUUUUUUUCCCAAUUCCAAAAUCAAGGCAUCAAGCUACCUCCGUCCUCCACCGAUCCACCUCCAUCGGUCCACCUCCGGUCCUCCACCCAGUUCCAGAAUCAAGCAUUUAAGGGUUUGUUUAUUCCUGAAUCGCCAACAAAUUCGUAUUUAAGUCUUCCAAAUCCCUAACCCUAUCGUGCCCUCCUCCUUUUUUUUCCCAAUUCCAAAAUCAAGGCAUCAAGCUACCUCCACCUCCACCGAUCCACCUCCACCGGUCCACCUCCGGUCCUGCACCUAGUUCCAGAAUCAGGCAUUUAAGGAAACAAGCAACAUUGAAAUCUAUUUGGCUUACCUUAGCUUCCAAUCCUUUCCCGAUUAGCAGAUUUUCUAGAUGAUAAUUUCUGUCCUUAUCUCAAAACAUUGUUAUGGUUACAGAUUCCUCUGAAAAAGAAGCGAACUUCCAAAAUAUUAGUGGGAAAGAAAAACUUAAAUUUUGAUUAAAUUAUGGUAAUGUUUAUCUACUAGUAGGAGGAAAAUAAUGGGAUUGAGAA